CCCUUAGAUGUUCUGGGCCGCACGCGCGCUACACUGAAGGGAUCAGCGUGUUUUCCCUUCCCGAGAGGGACGGGUAACCCGCUGAACCCCCUUCGUGGUAGGGAUCGGAGCUUGCAAUUGUUCUCCGUGAACCCGGAAUUCCCAGUAAGCGCAAGUCAUAAGCUUGCGUUGAUUACGUCCCUGCCCUUUGUACACACCGCCCGUCGCUACUACCGAUUGAACGUUUUAGUGAGGUAUUUGGACUGGGCCUUGGGAGGUUUCGGCCUCCCUUGUUGCUCGGAAAGACUCCCAAACUUGAGCGUUUAGAGGAAGUAAAAGUCGUAACA
rnacentral:rRNA from 1 species